rnacentral:rRNA from 1 species
UACAGAGGGUGCGAGCGUUGUCCGGAAUCACUGGGCGUAAAGGGCGCGUAGGCGGCUGGGUAAGCGUGUGGUGAAAGUCCGGGGCUCAACCCCGGAUCGGUCAUGCGAACUGUCCAGCUGGAGCACGGGUAGAGGCACAUGGAAUUCCGGGUGUAGCGGUGGAAUGCGUAGAGAUCCGGAAGAACACCGGUGGCGAAGGCGGUGUGCUGGGCCGUAGCUGACGCUGAGGCGCGACAGCGUGGGGAGCAAACAGG